GAUGAACGCUGGCGGCGUGCCUAAUACAUGCAAGUCGAGCGAACGGACGAGAAGCUUGCUUCUCUGAUGUUAGCGGCGGACGGGUGAGUAACACGUGGAUAACCUACCUAUAAGACUGGGAUAACUUCGGGAAACCGGAGCUAAUACCGGAUAAUAUUUUGAACCGCAUGGUUCAAAAGUAAAAGACGGUCUUGCUGUCACUUAUAGAUGGAUCCGCGCUGCAUUAGCUAGUUGGUAAGGUAACGGCUUAGCAAGGCAACGAUGCAUAGCCGACCUGAGAGGGUGAUCGGCCACACUGGAACUGAGACACGGUCCAGACUCCUACGGGAGGCAGCAGUAGGGAAUCUUCCGCAAUGGGCGAAAGCCUGACGGAGCAACGCCGCGUGAGUGAUGAAGGUCUUCGGAUCGUAAAACUCUGUUAUUAGGGAAGAACAUAUGUGUAAGUAACUGUGCACAUCUUGACGGGACCUAAUCAGAAAACCACGGCUAACUACGU
rnacentral:rRNA from 1 species